CGGCGAACGGGUGAGUAACACGUGGGCAACCUGCCCAGUCUGGGGGAUAACACCGGGAAACCGGUGCUAAUACCGCAUACGGUCUUCGAGGACAUCCUCGUCGAAGAAAGCAGCAAUGCGCGACUGGAGGGGCCCGCGGCCUAUCAGCUUGUAGGUGGGGUAACGGCCUACCUAGGCGAUGACGGGUAGCUGGUCUGAGAGGACGACCAGCCACACGGGGACUGAGACACGGCCCCG
rnacentral:rRNA from 1 species